AUAAAGAUUUCAAAUUCGGACGAAACUUUGCCGCCAUCUGACACAGAAACACAGCCACCUCUGGAGGAAUGUGGUCAGGAAGUUGAAUGGUCCCAGUCACCUUAGGAUAUUUUGAUUAUUAUUUUUAUAUUCCAUCCUAUGGUGAUCGGAGACUAAGAAAACAGUGUAGACAAAUGAGCGUGCAAUCCAGGAGGGGGAAGUUCUAAAUAACUCGUAUACAGCACUGUUGCAGCUAACCGGGUUUCCUUCUCUGUGUGAAAUGUUUAAUAUAUGUAAAAUAUGUUACUGCAAUCUUUAAUUCUGUCAUAUAAACAAAUAUAUAGUACUUUUUAAUGUGGGGUUAGAUUUUCUUUCAAAA